CCUCGUCUUAUGUUGCCAGCACGUAAAAGUGGGGACUCAUAAGAGACUGCCGGGGUCAACUCGGAGGAAGGUGGGGAUGACGUCAAGUCAUCAUGCCCCUUAUGCCUAGGGCUUCACGCAUGCUACAAUGGCCGGUACAAAGGGCUGCGAAAUCGCAAGAUGGAGCGAAUCCCAAAAAGCCGGUCUCAGUUCGGAUUGGGGUCUGCAACUCGACCCCAUGAAGUCGGAGUCGCUAGUAAUCGCAGAUCAGCAACGCUGCGGUGAAUACGUUCCCGGGCCUUGUACACACCGCCCGUCACGUCACGAAAGUUGGCAACACCCGAAGCCGGUGGCCCAACCCUUGUGGAGGGAGCCGUCGAAGGUGGGGCGAGCGAUUGGGACGAAGUCGUAACAAGGUAGCCGUACCGGAAGGUG
rnacentral:rRNA from 1 species